rnacentral:rRNA from 1 species
CCUACGGGUGGCAGCAGUGGGGAAUAUUGCACAAUGGGGGAAACCCUGAUGCAGCGACGCCGCGUGAGUGAAGAAGUAUCUCGGUACGGAAAGCUCUAUCAGCAGGGGAGAAAAUGACGGUACCUGACUAAGAAGCCCCGGCUAACUCCGUGCCAGCAGCCGCGGUAAUACGGGGGAUGCGAGCGUUAUCCGGAUUUAUGGGGUUUAAAGGGUGCGUAGGCGGGUUGCCAAGUCAGCGGGAAAAAUGCGGUGCUAACCGUCGUCGAGCCGUUGAAACUGGCGUUCUUGAGUGGGCGAGAAGUAUGCGGAAUGCGUGGUGUAGCGGUGAAAUGCAUAGAUAUCACGAAGAACUCCGAUUGCGAAGGCAGCAUACCGGCGCCCUACUGACGCUGAGGCACGAAAGCGUGGGUAUCGAACAGGAUUAGAUACCCUUGUAGUC